CCGAUACAAGUAGACCUCCACUUCCGGAACCUUCGUCCUCGCGGUUUUAGGAUUCGGAUUCGGGUUCCGGGAUGACCCGUCGGAUUUCGGGUCCGAUUCCUCGAUUUCGCCGACUCUGUUGGUAUCUUCUUUGUCGUCCAUCUUUGUUUCUGGGUUUUGAUUUCCUUUCUGUGAAUAUGGAUCCGACUUUUGUGGUGUACUAUUUAUAUAGAUUUUGUACUUGGAGACGAAGAGCGGAGGCCCCUUGAAGAAUAAAGAGGUCAACACGCACAAUAAUAUCCAGAGCAGGCGG
rnacentral:lncRNA from 1 species